UGCUUUAUGUAAAAAUUGGUUACUCCAAUGAAACGCAAACCCCGCUAUUUUCCCGUUUUAAUAUGCGUAUAUUUAAAAUGAAAGUGUACAUGAACUUACGCCGCUGCUCUAGUUUGAGCGUAGGAAGCCAUAUUCACCAUCCGUUUACGCGCCAUGCCUGUUGCGCUCAUUUCCCAGCAUGCAUCGCGAUUUUAUAUAGCCAUCUUGUCGGGAGGUGAAAUUUUUAGAUAUUCUGUUUCCGAAGUCUGCCAGUUACUUAGCUAUAAACUUUAAUUUCUAAACGUUUGUUUUCGUAGUUGUUUUGUUAGUAUGCCCGAAUCUAGUCGCCGAGUGUAGUGCCAUAUGACGCGGUGUUUCAAAGCGCUCGUUCAGGAUGUGUUUGAUACUUAUAUGUAGGUAGAGAAGUGAGAGGCAGCAGGGGGAGUGAACGCAGCUGAAUCUACGACAGCGGCCUUACACACACCGCCCUUACCGAGCUCGGAUCACCAGCAUAUGAGGAUAAAUUAAUAACCGACACGUCAUCUUUCAUACACCGUUCGCGGAGGUUGUUUUCAUCCGCCGUUCACGCGUCGACAAUGCAACAGGAGAGAAGAGGAAGACGAUGACGCACGAUCAUCGCGCAAAACUGUGAAAUUUAGGGUCCGGUGCCGCAACAAUCUGCUGUUUUGUGAAGUCAUCGGCGUCUUUAAGGGGUCUCCGUGUCAUAAAAAGCUGUUAAGCAUGUCGAAGAUGCCGGCCAAGAAGAAGAGUUGCUUUCAGAUCACGAGUGUGACUCAGGCUCAAGUCGCGGCCAACAGCGCGACCGACGACACCGAGAGCCUGGACGACCCGGAUGAGUCCCGGACAGAGGACGUGUCCUCCGAGAUAUUUGACAUGUCCAGGACUGACUAUGAGCCCGAGGUUUGUGACAUUAGCUCCUCGGAGGAGACUCUGAAUAAUGUUUGUGAGUCAGAGGGGCAGUUAUCCACUGCCGCCCCUCUGAACGGUGGGUUUGGCCAGCGCAACCUGGGUCAUCAGGGCAUCCAGGCCUCUAGUACUCAAGCAGCGGGCACGUCUCAAGUCACAAAUUCAUCAAGCGUGACGACCAUAACCAGCUGCAGUUCACGCUUCAGGGUCAUUAAGCUUGACCAUGGCACCGGAGAGCCCUUCAGGAGGGGCCGGUGGACCUGUAUGGAAUAUUAUGAGAAAGACACGGAGGGCUCUAUGAUGAGCAAGACUGUGGAUAGUAUAAGGCACACCAGUGUGACGGAGCCCGGAGCGGAUAGGGACAGUGGGCUCGGGGCCACUGUUGGCUCUGUAAUGGCUCACGUGGCACCUGACACAGGUGGCGACGGGUCAUCUUUCACCGGCCCGAGUUCCGGUUCACCUGAGACCUUUAGUAAUAAGCCAGUGCCUCCGCCUGCUCAGCAGCCGGUGCUGGGCAACUCUCAUGUGGCUGUCCCUCACAGUCUCCAUCAUGAUGGAGGACACCCGGGCGCCCACCUUCAGAAAUCUCCCAGCAUCCCUCCUCCUCAAGUGCAGCCGCUGCUUUAUCAGCCCCAGAAUAGUGCACACCACCUGCAAAGCCAACCGGCUCUGAUAGCAACCAGUCAGCCUGAUUACGGCCAGCUUAACAUGCCUAUUACAGUCACCCAAGCUCACCCCGGAGCAAGCCUUUCUGUCGGACAUGCCGUCAGUCAGGGGUCGUCCACCAUUCAAACCCCAUCCGCUGGAGGUAUGCAGGUUCUGGGUACAGUAGAAAUCCCUGGAGGUGUUCCCUUAGGGAGCCAGCCGGUGUCAUCUGUCCCAAACCUGGUGCAGCAUCCUGCUGUGGGGCUGUUGAGCAGCAUCGCCCCUAUGGCCUCCAUUCAGCAACCACCAGUUGGACAAUACCAGGCCUCAGGAGUAAUGCAAGGCUUGUCGACAAUGGCGCAAAGCACUCAGAACAUGCCCGUAGUACCAGUGACAGUCACAGUAGGCGGCGUGCCAGCCUCAAGUGUGCUCGCUUCUCUGCCAGGAUCUGCAACAGUACCCAACCUUAAUACCUCUGCACACAGCCAACCAUCCCAGGUUCCUCGCAGUGGGACGGCAGGGGGCAUUGGCUCUCCGGCCACGGGCUUCAGUCAGACGGAUGAGAGCCGGAGGAUGUCCUGAUGCAUCGGCACAGGUUCACAGUAAAGACAUGGUGAAGCCCUUUAUCACAGAAGGCCUGCAGUUAUCCAACCCGGCUGUCAACAGUCUUUUCGGAAUACCCAUUGCCAUUGAUGGGGAGGAGGACAGGAAUCCCUCCACAGCUUUCUACCAAGCUUUCCAGUCUGGCAGUAGGCUGAAGGACUCAAAGAUGACCUGUGAUAGUGCCUCUGGAGCAAGUGUGGUCGCCAUUGAUAAUAAAAUAGAGCAAGCGAUG